rnacentral:rRNA from 1 species
GUGCCAGCCGCCGCGGUAAGACGAACCGAGCGAACGUUGUUCGGAAUCACUGGGCUUAAAGGGCGCGUAGGCGGGUGUUCAAGUCCGUGGUGAAAUCCUCCAGCUCAACUGGAGAACUGCCUCGGAUACUGAAUGUCUCGAGGGUGGCAGGGGUAUGCGGAACUAUCGGUGGAGCGGUGAAAUGCGUUGAUAUCGAUAGGAACUCCGGUGGCGAAGGCGGCAUACUGGUCCACUUCUGACGCUGAGGCGCGAAAGCCAGGGGAGCAAACGGGAUUAGAAACCCUGGUAGUCC